rnacentral:rRNA from 1 species
GACGAACGCUGGCGGCGUGCUUAACACAUGCAAGUCGAGCGGUAAGGCCCUUUCGGGGGUACACGAGCGGCGAACGGGUGAGUAACACGUGGGUGACCUGCCUUCAGCUCUGGGAUAAGCCUGGGAAACUGGGUCUAAUACCGGAUAUGACUCCAUGAUGCAUGUUGUGGGGUGGAAAGCUUUUGCGGCUGGAGAUGGGCCCGCGGCCUAUCAGCUUGUUGGUGGGGUGANGGCCUACCAAGGCGACGACGGGUAGCCGGCCUGAGAGGGCGACCGGCCACACUGGGACUGAGACACGGCCCAGACUCCUACGGGAGGCAGCAGUGGGGAAUCUUGCGCAAUGGGCGAAAGCCUGACGCAGCGACGCCGCGUGAGGGAUGACGG